CGGCGGACGGGUGAGUAAUGCCUAGGAAUCUGCCUGGUAGUGGGGGACAACGUUUCGAAAGGAACGCUAAUACCGCAUACGUCCUACGGGAGAAAGCAGGGACCUUCGGGCCUUGCGCUAUCAGAUGAGCCUAGGUCGGAUUAGCUAGUUGGUGAGGUAAUGGCUCACCAAGGCGACGAUCCGUAACUGGUCUGAGAGGAUGAUCAGUCACACUGGGACUGAGACACGGUCCAGACUCCUACGGGAGGCAGCAGUC
rnacentral:rRNA from 1 species